rnacentral:misc_RNA from 1 species
CUAGCAACAAUCUCACGCUCGGAAAGCAUUGAUCUCCUCGAGUAUCUAUUCUGCACGCUGAAGACGGCACGGCGUAGGAGUUGGGGGCGUCAAUGGCAUGCAGGACAGCAGCAGCAAGAGUCCAGGCGCCAGGUGCACAGAAACGCAUGGCGAAAGGAGUCACAUCUGCUAGCUACCAAACAUUCCGAUUUCCGACCGAUGGAACUGAACCUUGGGAGAAACGAACCCCCAGUCAGUCAGUCAGUCGGUCGUCAGAAGGCCUGCCCUGCCACUCAUCAGGUAGCGAGGAAUGUCUGUCUGCAACUCUGCACAGUGAGCAACCACACCACAUGUGGGUUUAUGAUGAGCAGAAGGGAAGGGAUGCCUCCACAUGGAGUUCAGAGCACGGAGGCUUAAACAACACUCACUACUACGUACUACCACACUAGGAUGCUGCCGGUGCCCAGCAGCAGUGCAGAGUACAAACCUUGGCUGGCUGCUGGCCCCGUCCUCCCCGUCGAGACGAUGACCGGUCAGUAGAAGUUUAUGUCCAUGUAACUGCGUGGAUAAGUCUGGUACGGUGGCAGCUCGUCCAGCCCCAGGAGAGACGCGGAACGAGUGAUGCCGCCGAAGUGAGCAGCUGACUGGCUCGGAAUCUCAACCUCCGCCGUGAAUAUGCUGUACACAGGCCUGUGAUCCGAGAACCGAGACUCGCCGCGCACGUAGCAUAGCUGGGACAGGCCUCGCCCGUACCAUAGAAUCCGGUCACAC